CGGGAUGCGGCCGCCGCGGCUCCGCCCUGCUCAUUUCCAGAACUGUGGGUUUCGACCCCGCCCAACCUCCAGCGGCCUGAGGUCUUCCCCGGUUCUUUACAGCUCAGAUUUUAUUUAUUUAAGAGAGAACAAGCUGGCGGGUGGAGGGAGAAGCAGACUCCCCACUGUGAAGGACCUGGAGAUCAUGCCCUGAACCCAAGGAAGAAGCUUACCUGACUGAGCCAACCAGGUAGAAGUUGUUACUAUCAUGCCAAUGAGGAGAGACAUGGGAUCACUUGUCCAAGUUCACGCAGCUGGAAAAAAAAAGAUUUAAUUGUUUAGAAGAGAGAAGAGAGGAAAAAGGGGAUUUUUUUCAUUUAAGAUGUAAGCGCCUUCACCCAGCUUGAUUGCCGACAACAAGCCUAGAGCGUCAAUGACCAGUCAGAUGCAGGAAAGCGCAAAGGAGGGAAGGCGGCCCAGCCAGCUCCAGGCCACAGAGUGUCCUCCUCUGGGUUCUUCGAGACCAGAAGGUCAGCUCGGCCCUCCACCCCCGCCAGGACGUCGGUUACCACCCUCUGAUUAAACUCUGACGGCCUGGCAGCGGCCCACGCUUGCGCAACACCGCCCUCCGGGGAGGAGCCCAAAUCCCUUCAUCCCACAAUUCCGCGCGAACUUCCGUUGAAGAUAAUGAGGCUGAUGUUGUCUCAUGGUUUUCUGGGAAAUGCAGUUCGCGUGCCGAGCUGGAGCCACCGCCCAACGCCGGCGAGACUCCGCGCUUCACGACGCACUGCGCGGGGUUCGCGGAGCAGUGCGCUAUUGCCCCCACGUGGCAGCUGGUGGUUAUUGCACGCAUCUGGGACCCCUGAGGUUGCUGAGGCUUGGGAAACUAACGUCGACCUGGAAAACUCUGGGAGUCUCCUCCGGGUGGGGGGCUGACCCCAGAUGUGCAAAGGUGGGGUGAGUUAAGAAAUUAAGGUGAAAAAAUUAGGGGCAGGUCCCGCUGUGAGAAUUAAAUAAAGCCAGCAUCACUAAUGUUGGCGUAUGUAGUUGUUCUUACACCUAUCGCUAGUCUUCACUAAGGCAUUUACCUAUGUGCGUGGAGCUGAUAUAACGCUAUGGAUUAACUCAUUUAAUGCUCACAACAGUCGUUCGGGGGAAGUGCUGUCAUCGCCCCCGGGUUAUAGGAAUGAAGCUGAAACCCAGAGAGAAGGAAUACUUGUUCAGUCCCCCAGGGUCUGCACGACAGAGCUGGGAUUUGAACCCAGGCUGCCUGGUUUCAGAGUUUGUGCUUUUCCUCAGUAAGGUUAUACCGCCUCUCUUAACCUACUGAAUAGUCUCAAGUUUGUAAUUGGUACAUGAAUCAACGCCAGCAAGCCAUUAAGCACGUUCAGUUACUGAUUUAGCUCAGCAGCAAGACAAAGGUCGCCUUCAGCCCAAGUUUGUGUUUAGCACAGAGAUCGAGUUUCUGACGGGCAUUAAGCACCAAAGGGAUUAUUUUGGGCCUACAAAGCCCUGUCCCUUUUUGUUCAGGUGAUUCCUAUUCACAUCUCUAUCCCCAUUCCUUCUCUCAUACCAGCAGCACUGGCAGAUUUAGUGAUUUGUUCUCCUUCCCCCACUGCCGGCCACCUUAUUCAUUAUUAUCACAGUAAAGAAAAAAAGAAAGAGGGAGAGAGAGAGAGACAAUGUUUGUCUGCCUUUAUAUCCCAAGCAAGGACUGUGUCCAUUUCAUGAACAUAUCCCCAGUACGAGGCCUGACAUACACUGAGAGGCUCAAAAACUGUGGAGUGUUGGAUAUUUACUGUCUUCCAUCUGCAAGGACAUGAAGACUUAUGAAAUCAGGGUUCAUGGACGCUGGGUGAACUUAAAUUGGUAGAUGCUGGUUGAGAAGUUGGGGGACAUCCCCUCUAAGGCUCCUUGUUCUGACAACUCCCUGACAUGGAAAGAGCCUAAGCCUUGGGAUCUUUUUCUAAAGGGACCAGGGUUUUUGUUUGUUUUUGUACCUCGAUGAUUUCAAUAAUGCGUGUGUAUGUACAGGUUUGUAUCUAUCCCUGGUGGGUGUCUGAUGUGAAUCUCAGUGUUCCAUGUGUGACACAGAAUCUGUGUCACCCCAGGAAAAAACUUCAAGGAGCUAAAGAGGGGAUUCAGCACAUGCAGACUCAUGCACAGUGUGACCGAAGUUCCCUAGAAUGCAAGGACCACAUGGGAAGAAGUCACAUACCGGAAGGCACAAGGUAUUUUGCCCAGCUCAACAAUGGUAUGAGGGGCUUCAAGCUCCUUCUAGUCUUUUGAUUUCUUUCUUUCUUUUUUUUUUUUUUUUAAGAUUUUAUUUAUUUAUUUGACAGAGAGAGAGGGAGAGAUCACAAGUAGGCAGAGAGGCAGGCAGAGAGAGGAGGAAGCAGGCUUCACUGCUGAGCAGAGAGCCCGAUGUGGGGCUCGAUCCCAGGACCCUGAGAUCAUGACCUGAUAUUUGGCUAGGAACAUGGCUGCCCAGAAUAAAAACUAUAUUUCCCAGUCUACUUUGCAACUACAGGUGGCCAUGAGACAAAAUUCUGGCCAAUGAAAUAGAAACAAGUUUUGAGUUGCACAUAUUCCUUAAAGGCAAGAGGUAUCCUUCCCCUCUCCUUGGUGCCUGGAGCUGAUGAUGUGGAAAUCAUGAGAAGGCGAAGGGAGAGCAGCAAGAUAUAUGUAUGGAGACUGACCUCUGACACAGAGGGAUCACCAUACCAGCUCUCGGUGAUUACAUGAGACUUUACAUAAGAAAUAAACCACCCUGUUUAAGCCACUAUUUUUUUGGUCCCUUUUGUUAUAGCAGCAAAACAUUACAGUAACUAACAAAAGACAAAGAGCAGUCUCAUGGGCCCCAGCUAUCGG